rnacentral:misc_RNA from 1 species
AAACUGUGAUAAUUGAUGUGAAUUGCAGAUUACGUGAAUCAUCGAGAUCUUGAACGCAUUCUGCGCAUGGGAGUCCAUCUCCCAUGCAUAUUUGUUCGAGUGUCAGCUUCAACCUCACAAUUUAACCGUUGUGGAUAUUGAGGGUUAAUCGCUUGCGACUUCCCUUUAAAUUGAGCUGAUGAGGGGUACAUUGAUGUCGCCUGUACUCACUAGUAAUAUUGAGGUCAUUGAGUGGGUUAAACCGCUUGGAGACUACUUUUAACUGGAGAGUUUGGGUUUGAAGUCUGUCCCUUGGUCGUUGAUCAAAUGUUUUCCAUCUGAAUGGGUCUUUUCUCGUUUAGAAGGGGACAAGUUUAUCUAUAUUGACCUCGAAUAAGUAAGGCCACCCGCUGAACUUAA